rnacentral:rRNA from 1 species
GGAUGAACGCUGGCGGCGUGCCUAAUACAUGCAAGUCGAACGCUUUGUGGUUCAACUGAUUUGAAGAGCUUGCUCAGAUAUGACGAUGGACAUUGCAAAGAGUGGCGAACGGGUGAGUAACACGUGGGAAACCUACCUCUUAGCAGGGGAUAACAUUUGGAAACAGAUGCUAAUACCGUAUAACAAUGACAACCGCAUGGUUGUUAUUUAAAAGAUGGUUCUGCUAUCACUAAGAGAUGGUCCCGCGGUGCAUUAGCUAGUUGGUAAGGUAAUGGCUUACCAAGGCGAUGAUGCAUAGCCGAGUUGAGAGACUGAUCGGCCACAAUGGGACUGAGACACGGCCCAUACUCCUACGGGAGGCAGCAGUAGGGAAUCUUCCACAAUGGGCGAAAGCCUGAUGGAGCAACGCCGCGUGUGUGAUGAAGGGUUUCGGCUCGUAAAACACUGUUGUAAGAGAAGAAUGACAUUGAGAGUAACUGUUCAAUGUGUGACGGUAUCUUACCAGAAAGGAACGGCUAAAUACGUGCCAGCAGCCGCGGUAAUACGUAUGUUCCAAGCGUUAUCCGGAUUUAUUGGGCGUAAAGCGAGCGCAGACGGUUAUUUAAGUCUGAAGUGAAAGCCCUCAGCUCAACUGAGGAAUUGCUUUGGAAACUGGAUGACUUGAGUGCAGUAGAGGAAAGUGGAACUCCAUGUGUAGCGGUGAAGUGCGUAGAUAUAUGGAAGAACACCAGUGGCGAAGGCGGCUUUCUGGACUGUAACUGACGUUGAGGCUCGAAAGUGUGGGUAGCAAACAGGAUUAGAUACCCUGGUAGUCCACACCGUAAACGAUGAGUGCUAGGUGUUUGAGGGUUUCCGCCCUUAAGUGCCGCAGCUAACGCAUUAAGCACUCCGCCUGGGGAGUACGACCGCAAGGUUGAAACUCAAAGGAAUUGACGGGGACCCGCACAAGCGGUGGAGCAUGUGGUUUAAUUCGAAGCAACGCGAAGAACCUUACCAGGUCUUGACAUCCCUUGACAACUCCAGAGAUGGAGCGUUCCCUUCGGGGACAAGGUGACAGGUGGUGCAUGGUUGUCGUCAGCUCGUGUCGUGAGAUGUUGGGUUAAGUCCCGCAACGAGCGCAACCCUUAUUACUAGUUGCCAGCAUUCAGUUGGGCACUCUAGUGAGACUGCCGGUGACAAACCGGAGGAAGGUGGGGAUGACGUCAAAUCAUCAUGCCCCUUAUGACCUGGGCUACACACGUGCUACAAUGGCGUAUACAACGAGUUGCCAACCCGCGAGGGUGAGCUAAUCUCUUAAAGUACGUCUCAGUUCGGAUUGUAGGCUGCAACUCGCCUACAUGAAGUCGGAAUCGCUAGUAAUCGCGGAUCAGCACGCCGCGGUGAAUACGUUCCCGGGUCUUGUACACACCGC